AGCACUCGAGGACAGGAGAGGGAAGCGGAAUUCCCGGUGGAGUAGUGAAAUGCGUAGAUAUCGGGAGGAACACCAGUGGCGAAGGCGGCUUCCUGGACUGUUCCUGACACUGAGGCGCGAAAGCCAGGGGAGCGAACCGAAUUAGAUACUCGGGUAGUCCUGGCCCUAAACGGUGCGGACUAGGUGUUGGGGGUAUCGACCCCCCCAGUGCCGUAGCUAACGCGCUAAGUCCGCCGCCUGGGAACUACGACCGCAAGGUUAAAACUCAAAGGAAUUGACGGGGCCCCGCACAAGCAGCGGAGCGUGUGGUUUAAUUCGAUGCAACACGAAGAACCUUACCUGGGCUUGACAUGCACCCGACGGCGGCGGAAACGUCGCCUUCCGCGAGGACGAGUGCACAGAUGCUGCAUGGCUGUCGUCAGCUCGUGCCGUGAGGUGUUGGGUUAAGUCCCGCAACGAGCGCAACCCUCGUCGUUAGUUAAAUAUCUCUAGCGAGACUGCCGAGAGAAACUCGGAGGAAGGUGGGGAUGAAGUCAAGUCAGCAUGGCUCUUACGUCCAGGGCUACACACACGCUACAAUGGCCGGUACAGAGGGUUGCCAACCCGCGAGGAGGAGCCAAUCUCAAAAAACCGGCCCCAGUUCAGAUUGCAGGCUGCAACUCGCCUGCAUGAAGGCGGAGUUGAUAGUAACCGCAGAUCAGCAUGCUGCGGUGAAUGCGUUCCCAGGGCUUGUACACACCGCCCGUCACGUCAUGAAAGCCGGU
rnacentral:rRNA from 1 species